GAUGAACGCUGGCGGCGUGCCUAAUACAUGCAAGUCGAGCGAACAGACGAGGCGCUUGCUCCUCUGACGUAAGCGGCGGUCGGGUGAGUAAAACGUGGAUAACCUACCUAUAAGACUGGGAUAACUUCGGGAAACCGGAGCUAAUACCGGAUAAUAUAUUGAACAGCAUGGUUCAAUAGCGAAAGACGGUUUUGCUGUCACUUAUAGAUGGAUCCGCGCCGCAUUAGAUAGUUGGUAAGGUAACGGCUUACCAAGGCAACGAUGCGUAGCCGACCUGAGAGGGUGAUCGGACACACGGGAACUGAGACACGGUCCAGACUCCUACGGGGGGCAGCAGUAGGGAAUCUUCCGCAAUGGGCGAAAGCCGGACGGAGCAACGCCGCGUGAGUGAUGAAGGUCUUCGGAUCGUAGAACUCUGUUAUUAGGGAAGAACAAAUGUGUAAGUAACUAUGCACGUCUUGACGGUACCUAAGCAGAAAGCCACGGCUAACUACGUG
rnacentral:rRNA from 1 species